rnacentral:rRNA from 1 species
GAGUUUGAUCGUGGCUCAGGAUGAACGCUGGCGGCGUGCUUAACACAUGCAAGUCGAACGUACCUUCGGGUUAGUGGCGGACGGGUGAGUAACGCGUGAGAAUCUGCCCUCAGGAGGGGGAUAACGGUUGGAAACGACCGCUAAUACCCCCAUAUGCCUACUGGUGAAAUGAAUUUCGCCUGAGGAUGAGCUCGCGUCUGAUUAGCUAGUUGGUGAGGUAAUGGCUCACCAAGGCUUCGAUCAGUAGCUGGUCUGAGAGGAUGAUCAGCCACACUGGGACUGAGACACGGCCCAGACUCCUACGGGAGGCAGCAGUGGGGAAUUUUCCGGCAAUGGGCGAAAGCCUGACGGAGCAACGCCGCGUGAGGGACGAAGGCC